GUCAGGAUGGCUGAACGGUCUAAGGCGCUGCGUUCAGGUCGCAGUCCGGUCUUCCGGGCGUGGGUUCGAAUCCCACUUUUGACA
rnacentral:tRNA from 2 species